rnacentral:siRNA from 1 species
UCCUUUUAGGUGUGAUAGUUCU